AUCCAGCUGACGAGUCCCAAAUAGAACGAAACGUGCGCCCUGGAU
rfam:Schistosoma margrebowiei strain Zambia genome assembly, scaffold: SMRZ_contig0000131